AUUUAUAUAGUUUAAUAAAAAUAUAACAUUUUCAACGUUAAGUUAAUUAAUUUUUGUAAAUA
rnacentral:tRNA from 1 species